GAUGAACGCUGGCGGCGUGCCUAAUACAUGCAAGUCGAGCGAAUGGAUUAAGAGCUUGCUCUUAUGAAGUUAGCGGCGGACGGGUGAGUAACACGUGGGUAACCUGCCCAUAAGACUGGGAUAACUCCGGGAAACAGGGGGUAAUACCGGAUAACAAUUUGAACCGCAUGCUUCGAAAUUGCAAGGCUGAUUCGGCGGUCACUUAUGGAUGGACCCGCGUCGCUUUAGCUAGUGGGUGGGGUAACGGCGCACCAAGGCAACGAUGCGUAGCCGACCUGAGAGGGUGAUCGGCCACACUGGGACUGAGACACGGCCCAGACUCCUACGGGAGGCAGCAGUAGGGAAUCUUCCGCAAUGGACGAAAGUCUGACGGAGCAACGUCGCGUGAGUGAUGAAGGCUUUCGGGUCGUAAAACUCUGUUGUUAGGGAAGAACAAGUGCUAGUUGAAUAAGCUGGCACCUUGACGGUACCUAACCAGAAAGCCACGGCUAACUACGUGCCAGCCGCCGCAGUAA
rnacentral:rRNA from 1 species